UACGUAGGGUGCGAGCGUUUGUCCGGAAUUAUUGGGCGUAAAGAGCUCGUAGGCGGUCUGUCGCGUCGAUCGUGAAAACUUGGGGCUUAACCCUGAGCUUGCGGUCGAUACGGGCAGACUAGAGGUAGGUAGGGGAGAAUGGAAUUCCCGGUGUAGCGGUGAAAUGCGCAGAUAUCGGGAGAACACCGGUGGCGAAGGCGGUUCUCUGGGCCUGUACUGACGCUGAGGAGCGAAAGCGUGGGGAGCAAACAGGAUAGAACCGUAA
rnacentral:rRNA from 1 species